CCUCUCACAUGCAAUACCACAAGCAUCCCAACACAUACACACACACCACCAACCACACAAUGUAACAUAUCAUAUAUACACACACACACACACACACACAAUUUCACAAGCAGCCCCACAUACACAGCCCACAUUCAUGGGUAUAAUACACAAUUAGUACCACAAAUUACUCAUGAACAUGUACAAUAUAACAGCCCAAAUACACACAUAUACAACAUUACAAAGCAACUG